GCUAGGAGAGUAGCCUCCCUUGAGCCAGCUUCGUUCCUUUCACGAACUCGUCCGUAGUUUCGUCGGUUUCUGCCUUUUGAUUUGUUUUUCCACAAUUUCCAAGAUGUCUAAAUUAAUCGAGACAGUUUCGGGUCCUACUGCCUACAUAAUUUUUUUUUGCUUUCGCAUACGAAAGUGAUGUAGCGGAUCAAAAAUGGUUUGCCUUUGGACGUGUUGAAGCCAAGAUUUACGUAAGAUUCAAGAAUUCACAUGCAAGAGUGAUGAAUGAAUAAGUGAUCACAAUAUAUCAAAAAUGAGCCGUCAACUUAGCACCUUUAGGGGACAUCAAGAGCACAGGAAGCGCAGGAGUGCACUGAUGCAACACAUCAAUUACAUAAUUGAAUAAGCUCAAUUCAAAUGAAGUAGUGGAUCAAGUUUUAACGAUGAAAGAGUUUGCAGGAGAAAUCAAGGCAGGUGACACUGAGUACCUGUUGGUAAAAAAAGAAAGAGAAAACAAUAGCUUUUUUUUUCCUCUGGGUCCACUGAGAUUUUUUUAAAUACAAUUCCAAAAUUGUCGUAAAGAAGCCAUCAAUUUUCAGUUGAUCAUCAGCAGGAAACAAUCAUUCCAUGCAGGCACAUGCGCACACAAAGAUUCAUUUUGCCAAGACUUUUUAUUCAGCAAAGAAAAAUUAACUUUCCACUUCUUCAACAUUACCAUGUGAAGCACAGUUUUGAUCAUUUAAAUAAAAGCUAUUGAUAACACCCGAUGCACUCAUAAUCAGUUUUUUUUCAAGAUUUGGCUGAAUAUUCACCAAAAUGAGUAAAUAUAUUCACCUUUCACCAUAAAUAUUUUUUUAAUACCCAAUAUAUCAUACAA